GCAAUACUUUACAAGUUUAAUUUCAAAUCUGUUUGAUAAAUAUUUCUAAUUACAUUACAUUUCCAUUCCCCCUAAAAUGUAUCUUAAAACCCAUUUCUUUCUUCUAGCAUCGGUCUUUAUGGUCAGCCUAGUAACACCUUCUACUGGAUCUGGUGGCUCUCAUGGUUCUCCUGAUUCUGAUGGUAAUAUAAACUGUGUAAAUUGUAAGGGUUGUACAAACUGCACCAACUGUAUCAAUUGUAUAAAUUGUCAUGGCUGUGAAGAUUGCUCCGACUGUACGCGUUGUGUAAACUGUUCUGGUAACAGUUCAAUUCUUACGGAUUGUUCAAAUUGUGUGAACUGUUCCAGUUGUACAAAUUGUUCAGAUUGUAAAAACUCUUCCAGUUGUACAGACUCUAAAAAUUGCAACGAUUCUAGCAGCCUCACAAACUGCACAAAUUGUUCAAACUGUACAAGUUGUACAAAAUGUACAGAUUGUCAAAACUGUGAUAGUUGUACAAAUGUCCAAAAUUCUGCUAAUUGUAAGAGUCGUACAGGCUGUUCACAUUGUCAAUGUUGAAUUCCGGUAUCGAUGCAUAUUGCUGUAACCUAAAAAGAUAUGGAAUUGACGAUUAAACAAAUGUCCAAGGAGAGCAAGUUGAAAAGAUUGACGCAUUGUCCAAUGAUAUUUUCAUUAAUGUCUUUUAGUCCUUUGGCCCUCUCGAUUGAUAUUGGAUGCAUCAUAUUUCUAUUUGCCGUUUGGUAAUCAACCAUCCCUUUCGAAAAACAGUUUUUUGGGAUUUUUCUUUGAUUUUUUGAACCGUAUCUUGAUUUUGCUCUUUCUACAAAUGAUUUUAAUGCUAAUUGUAAUCAAAACCCUUAAAUAUAUUCUUAUCUCGCCAAUGAUAGAGCGAAAUAAUAAAAAUCGAUUCAUCAGUAA